UGAUGACGAGACGCUAAGGCGUUGAAGCAGUGUAUGUCAGACUUCCAAGAAAAGCUCGCAAUGUCACAAAUAAAAAUUGCCCGUACCAUAACCGACACAGGUGGGUAGGUAGAGUAUACUAAGGGGCGCGAGAUAACUCUCUCUAAGGAACUCGGCAAAAUGACUCCGUAACUUCGGGAGAAGGAGUCCCUUAUUUAUAAGGUUGCAAUAACAAGAUCCAAGCAACUGUUUAUCAAAAACACAGGUCUCCGCUAAGUCGUAAGACGAUGUAUGGGGGCUGACGCCUGCCCAGUGCCAGAAGGUUAAAGAAGUUGGUUAGUGUAUGCGAAGCUGAUGACUGAAGCCCUGGUGAACGGCGGCCGUAACUAUAACGGUCCUAAGGUAGCGAAAUUCCUUGUCGGGUAAGUUCCGACCCGCACGAAAGGCGUAAUGAUUUGGAUACUGUCUCGGAGAGAGGCUCGGUGAAAUAGACUUGUCUGUGAAGAUGCGGACUACCUGCACCAGGACAGAAAGACCCUAUGAAGCUUUACUGUAACUUGAAAUUGGAAUUGGACUUUGCUUGCGCAGUAUAGGUGGGAAGCGUUGAAAAUAUUCUUGCGGGAGUAUUGGAGCUAUCAGUGAGAUACCACUCUUGUAAUGUUAGAUUUCUAACUUUGAACCAUAAUCUGGUCAAAGAACAGUUUCAGGUGGUUUUGACUGGGGCGGUCGCCUCCCAAAUGGUAACGGAGGCGUACAAAGGUUUCCUCUGAACGGAUAGAAAUCGUAUCUAGAGUGUAAAGGCAUAAGGAAGCUUGACUGUGAGACCUACAAGUCGAGCAGGGACGAAAGUCGGUCUUAGUGAUCUGACGGUACUGAGUGGAAAGGCCGUCACUCAACGGAUAAAAGUUACUCUAGGAUAACAGGCUGAUCUCCCCCAAGAGUUCACAUCGACGGGGAGGUUUGGCACCUCGAUGUCGGCUCAUCGCAUCCUGGGGCGGUAGUACGUCCCAAGGGUUGGGCUGUUCGCCCAUGAAAGCGGUACGCGAGCUGGGUUCAGAACGUCGUGAGACAGUUCGGUCCAUAUCCGGUGUAGGCGCUAGAAUAUUGAGAGGAGCCUUCUUUAGUACGAGAGGACCGAGAAGGACACACCGCUGGUGUACCAGUUAUCGUGCCAACGGUAAACGCUGGGUAGCUAUGUGUGGAGUGGAUAACCGCUGAAAGCAUCUAAGUGGGAAGCCCACCUCGAGAUGAGUAUUCUCAUC
rnacentral:rRNA from 1 species